UCCAGUUCUCGUAUUAGUCCUAAUAUCGGCAAGAUACGUAAAUAAACAAUAAACGCCCAAUAGAAAGACCAAGGACCAGACGGAAAGACAUUGUGAACAAAUAUAUGAUGCUAAUAAAUGGGAAUGCAGAUAUAUGGUGGCCAUUAAAUAGAUGAGAAUGUAGGUCGAGAAGAUAAUAUUAUUGAUAUUAGAGAUAUUAGUGGCAGCGCAAGUCUUUAAUGGGGGCCAUCGAGUGGUUGAAGAACAAAUUGUCGACAUUUGUCGAGUAUACGUUAAAGCCUAAAAACAACUGAAAUAUUGCAAACAUUAUUCUUAUAUUAUAAUAUAUCUCAAAAUAAAUGUAGAUACAUUAUACUUAGAAUAUUCAACGUCCGAUAUUAAUGAAUUAUACAAAUGAAGCAAAUCCCGAAUCCUAAAUUUAAUUUAAGUACAUUAUAUAACAAACGUUUCGAACGCAUUUUUGCAUU